rnacentral:ncRNA from 17 species
CGGGACGAGUGAGGGAGUUCGACCGGAGUAGCCGACUGCAGCGCGAGGUUUCGGCUUCCGCUGGUGCCGACGUCGACGGUCGGGCUGAGAGGCCGGAAGGUCGCAGGACAGGACCGGAAGGCGACCCCUAGUCACCUGAUCCGGGUCAUACCGGCGAAGGGAACCCGUCUCGUAGGUCC